UGAUUGGGAAGACACGCAGAGCA
rnacentral:misc_RNA from 1 species